AUUGCUUUUAGGGGAAUCAGCAACGAAGAGAAAGUACAUCUGAGGCAAAAACUGGUAUCCCAUUUAAGAAAAGAAAACUAUCAGACAACUCUCAUGUUGGCUAUGCUCAUCUCAAAAAUUGCUCGAAUUGAUUAUCCAGUAGAAUGCUAGAGAAUAUUAUAUUUUUUCAUCUCUUUCUUUAUAACUGUUAUAAUAUCAGCUAAAGAAAAAAAAACAAUUAAAGACAUAAAUUUAUUUGAUUCCUCUUAGCUCUCCUUAAAUCCCUAAAUCCUAAUAUACCCAAACCAGCUCCC